rnacentral:rRNA from 1 species
AAAUUGAAGAGUUUGAUCAUGGCUCAGGUUGAACGCUGGCGGCAGGCCUAACACAUGCAAGUCGAACGGUAACAGGAAGCAGCUUGCUGCUUUGCUGACGAGUGGCGGACGGGUGAGUAAUGUCUGGGAAACUGCCUGAUGGAGGGGGAUAACUACUGGAAACGGUAGCUAAUACCGCAUAACGUC